GCGCGGGUGGUGGAAUUGGCAGACACAUACGUUUGAGGGGCGUAUGAGGAAACUCGUGCGGGUUCAAGUCCCGCCCCGCGCA
rnacentral:tRNA from 1 species